UACGGAGGGUGCAAGCGUUACCCGGAAUCAUUGGGCGUAAAGCGUCCGCAGGCGGUUUUUUAAGUCGAGUAUUAAAUCUUGAAGCCCAACUUUAAGGCUGUACUCGAAACUGUAAAACUAGAGUAUUUCAGAGGUACAUGGAAUUCUGUGUGUAGGGGUAAAAUCCGUAGAUACACAGAGGAACACCAAAAGCGAAGGCAGUGUACUGGGAAAUUACUGACGCUCAUGGACGAAAGCGUAGGGAGCGAACGGG
rnacentral:rRNA from 1 species